rnacentral:tRNA from 1 species
GGGCCAGUAGUCUAGUCCGGAUAAGGCACCAGCCUUCGGAGCUGGGGGUCGUAGGUUCAAGUCCUACCUGGUCCGCCA